rnacentral:misc_RNA from 1 species
GAAUUGCGAUAAGUAAUGUGAAUUGCAGAAUUCAGUGAAUCAUCGAAUCUUUGAACGCACCUUGCACUCUUUGGUAUUCCGAAGAGUAUGUCUGUUUGAGUGUCAUGAAACUCUCAACCCCCCUGUUUUGUAACGAGAUAGGCGUGGGCUUGGAUUAUGGUUGUCUGCUGGCGUCAAGUCAGCUCAACUGAAAUAUACGAGCAACCCAUUUGAAAUAGACGGUUUGACUCGGCGUAAUAAUUAUUUCGCUGAGGACGUCUUCUUUAAAGUCAGUGGUGCUUCUAAUGCGUUAUAAUACAUCAUAAGCUUUAGACCUCAAAUCAGUCAGGACUACCCGCUGAACUUAA